AGUGUUGCAUAUUACCACACAUAUGUUACUCCCCACUAUACAGGUAGUAACAUAGAGUAGUAACAUAGGCAUGUUACUACUCUAUGUUACUACCCAUUGUGGCUAGUCUUAAAUAGGUAUGCAGUCUAUAAAAUGGCCGAGCAAUCUAUAAAUAACUACACAUUUGUUAGUGUGAGAUACUUUCAACAUCUGGAAGAAGAAGAAAAACACUCGAUGCUAGGGAUAUUCCCUCUUUUCGAGAAACAAAAAACAUACAACAUCUGACAAUAGCAAAUAAUCACCUCGUCAUCUGUAAACAACGGACGGUGUAUCCUUAUUCCCUCUUAUCCCAUUCCCUCUCUUUCACCUCAUACAUGUUUUUUUUCUUGCGGGGGCACCUCAUACAUGUUAAACAUCUUUUAAAGAAAGCUAAUAUUGCAUUGUUGUACAUGCCAUGAACAAUGACUAUCAAUAAAACAGUUUUAAAACCGACAUGAUAUUGGAGGGUGUUAAGACGGUGGUUGUGCAGCGAUUCAGGUUGACUGUGCGCCUCACGUCUCACUGAUGUCGACUUUUGUUUUUGUGAUACAUGACGUACAUGUCACUACCAAGCAUCUGUGGUGACUUCAAAAUCCUCUAACAUCAUGAGUUUAGUAGGCAUUCCUAUCGAUCGUUACGUGUGUUAGUGUGUGUCAUGGUGUGUAUGUGUGCAGGUCUUAUGGGUUGUGUUAUUAUUUUCUGAGAAAAAUGAACUUCAUUUCAAGUAACUGAAAAGGUGGAGCAGUUUUGUAGGAAUCUAAUCCUAUCAAGAGCAUCUCCACCCAUCCCAAAAAAGCCCCCAGAGCACUUUUUCAUCGCGCGCGGAUAAAAAAGUCUCAUUCACGCCCCACAAGCCCGAUUAGCGCCGGAUUUGGCCGAAAAUAGAGCCGGCGACCCCAACACAAACCCAGGAAGCUGGGGGCGCCUGGGGGGCUAUUUUCGCCGUUUUACAGGUGCCGGCCCAUCUGCCAGUGUCUCUCUCCUCUCUCUUCCCUUUCCUUCCCUGGCUACCAUGUGCUCCUGUCCACACAUGCCCAUCCUCUCUCUCUCACACAAGCCCGUCGGCCGCAUCGGGCGCUGCCUCGCCGCUACGCGCAAAGCGUCGGCUCCGGCGCCCCCGUCUACCUCGUCGCCAUCCUCCACAUCGUGUCGGGGAAGGGGACGGGCGGCGGAGCAGCCGGCGCGGGCGUCGCAGACGCGUGGAGGCGGGUUGCCGCAAGGAGAGGAGCAGCACGGGAGCUCGGAGGGGAGGAGCACCUGGCAGCGAGGGGCGACGCGACGGCGCGCGGGAGCCGGUGAGCGCGGGCGCGACGCGACGGCGGCGGGAGCCGGUGCACGGAGGCGCGACGCGACGGCGCGCAGGAGCCAGUGCGUGGAGGCGCGACGCGACGGUGCGCGGUAGCCGGCACGCGGGCCCCGAGCGGGGCCGGCCCCGAGCGGCCCCGUCACCGGGCUGACCGGCCCCGAGCGUCCCCGGCACCGGGCGCGUCGGUCACGGGCAGCCCCGUCACUGGGCGGACUGGCCCUGAGCGUCCCCGGCACCGGGCGCGCUGGCCACGGGCGGCCCCGGCACCGGGCGCACCGGCCCCGAGCGUGGCGACUACGGGCGUCCCCGGCACCGGCACCGGCACCGGCCCUGAGCGUGGCGACCACGGGUGUCCGCCGUCUCCCUCGUCUUCUCCGCCGCCGCGUCCUUGGUCUCCUUGGUCUUUCCCGCGGCUGUGUCGGCCAUCUCACUCGCGCUCUCCUUCUCUUCCUCGGCCUUCUGCGAUGCGUAGCUCCCGUACUCAUUGAGCUUCUCCCCCGCGGUCCCCAUGGCGCCGGUGGAGUGGCUGUCGUGGGCGGUGGUUGUGUCCCGGACGCCGCCGGAGAAGGUGUCGCGGACGGCGCCCAGCAGGGAGCGCGCGCUCUCCUGCACGCUGCCGAAGAUGCCGGUCCGCCGUCCUGGGCUGCUGAGCUCCUGCAUAUCCCGCCUGGCCGCGGCGAGCUCGUCGGCCGCCUUCUGCGCCGUGGCCUGCGCGCGCUCCUCGCGGUGACUCUGCUCGGAGAAGGUGUCGCGUGGCCAUCUUGAUGUUGUAGCUGUGGUGAUGCGUGAGAGCGUGGGAAGAUGGCACCUGCUCCGCGGGCUGCUACAGCUGUUGCUCCUGCGUCGGCAGCGAUGGACGCGGGUGCAUCGGCGGCGGUGGAUUUGCGGUGGCGACUGGCGAGCUGCUGCUCCUGCGUCGGCGGCGGUGGACGGGGGUGCGUCGGCAGCGAUGGAUUGCAGUGGCGAGCUGCUGCUGUUGCUGCUACUCCAGCUAGCUCUGGGGGCGCAACGAGUGAGAAAAAGUCCACCCCCAGGCCAAAGUUCUCGCCAGCAGCCCUCCAAGGGGCGAAAAAAAAAUGCCUCCUUAGAGCAAGUCCAGCAGUUCCCCUAAAAUUUCUCCCCUAUAUCUCAAAACAGGGGACUCCCCUAAAAAGAUUCUCCCCUAAAAAUUGCUCAACUCCAGCAGUUCCCAUAAACAUCUCUCUUAUUCUAUAUUUUAAGAAUAUUUCAUAACUACCAACGGCUAGUUUCCAACGGCUAGUUUUCCAACGGCUAGUUUCAGCCCUAUAAAUACAUGAUCACCCCUCAUAUCUAUCACAAUCCUGAUCAUGCCUCCUCUUCUACCUCUCUUGCGCCAUCUCUCUGCCAUCUCUCCACAACGAAAUGAGUCACCGUCGAAGUUUGGCCCGACAGUUUUGCGAAGAUUCCUCCUCCGAAGAUGAGGAACUCAUGAUGGCUGCAAUUGUAGCAGAGGAAGAAGAAGCCCGGUUGGAUGCUCCACGACAUAGAGGUUCACAACCGGGACGUCAAUCUCUUCAGCGCGAUUUUGCGGAACGCUUUCAGAAUCUCCACAAGGACUAUUUUGCAGAGAACCCCACCUUCAAGGCAAGGAUGUUUCGCAAUAGGUAUAGAAUGCAUCGUCCUCUUUUUCUGCGCAUAGCAAGUGCUAUAGAGGCACAUGAUAGCUAUUUUUCCCUGAGAAGAAAGUGCUGGUGUUCCUGGUUUACAUCCUUAUCAAAAAUUGACCUCAGUAUUUCGAAUCCUAGCUUAUGGGAUAGCAGCUGAUCUUAUUGAUGAGUAUUGUCGGCUGGCAAAGUCCACCGCUUUAGAAAAUCUUAGAAGAUUUGUGCGUGCUGUGAUCGAGGUCUUUGGGGGUCAAUACCUGAGAUCUCCAAAUGCUGAAGAUACUGCUAGAUUACUUGCAAUUGGAGAGCAAAGGGGGUUUCCGGGUAUGCUCGGAAGCAUCGACUGCAUGCUGUGAUCGAUGUCUUUGGGGGUCAAUACCUAAGAUCUCCAAAUGCUGAAGAUACUGCUAGAUUACUUGCAAUUGGAGAGCAAAGGGGGUUUCCGGGUAUGCUCGGAAGCAUCGACUGCAUGCAUUGGAAGUGGAAAAAUUGCCCUACUGCACACAAAGGUUUUUUUGUUGGCCAUAAACGCGUACCCACGGUCAUUCUUGAAGCCGUUGCUUCACAAGACCUUUGGAUUUGGCAUUCUUUCUUUGGUUUACCAGGAUCUCAUAAUGAUAUAAAUGUCCUCCACCGUUCACCCGUGUUUGCAAACCUAGUUGAAGGGCAUGCUCCAGAAGUGAAUUAUACCAUCAAUGGUCACAACUACAACACGGGGUAUUACCUUGCAGAUGGCAUAUAUCCGCAGUGGGCAACUUUUGUGAAGACAAUUCCAAAUCCCAAAGGUGAGAAGAACAAAAAUUUCUCCCGGUUUCAAGAAGCAUGUCGGAAGGAUGUCGAACGAGCCUUUGGUGUUCUGCAAGCUCGUUUUGCUAUUGUACGUGGACCAGCAAGGUAUUGGGAUCUGGAGACACUCGGAGAAGUGAUGACAGCUUGUAUCAUCCUGCAUAACAUGAUAAUAGAAGAUGAGCGUGGAAGUCGUGUAGACUACCGCUACGAUAACAUGGGAGAACUAGUGACACCUUCUCACCGAGAGGCGGCUACAUUGACUCAGUUUCUUCAAGCUCAGAGUGAUAUUCGAGACAAACAAGUUCAUUGUCAGCGGCAAGUUGAUCUAGUUGAGCACCUGUGGCAGAUCCGUGGACUGAUGUAGCUUUCAAUAAUGUAGUCUAUGUCACCAUUUUAGAUUAUGCAAGUGUGUACUGUUUUUCAAUUAUAAUGGGAGUGUAAGCACUAUCUGUAUCAUUUUCUAAAUAAUGGAAGCAAUAGUUUACUACA